rnacentral:rRNA from 1 species
AAUGAACGUUGGCGGCGUGGAUUAGGCAUGCAAGUCGAGCGAGAAUUCCCCGCAAGGGGGAGGACAGCGAAAGGGAGAGGAACACGUAGUUACCUACCCUCAGGACUGGGAUAGCUCCGGGAAACCGGAGGUAAUACCAGAUAACAUCUUCGGAUCAAAGGUGUGAUUCCGCCUGUGGAGGGGACUGCGUCCUAUUAGCUAGUUGGCGAGGUAACGGCUCACCAAGGCAACGAUGGGUAUGGGGUGUGAGAGCAUGCCCCCACUCACUGGGACUGAGACACUGCCCAGACACCUACGGGUGGCUGCAGUCGAGGAUCUUCGGCAAUGGGCGCAAGCCUGACCGAGCGACGCCGCGUGCGGGAUGAAGGCCUUCGGGUUGUAAACCGCCGUCGGAGUGGAGGAAAUUCCAGGGGGUAAUCUCUCUGGAUUGACCUAUACUCAGAGGAAGGACGGGCUAAGUACGUGCCAGCAGCCGCGGUAAUACGUGCCGUCCAAACGUUAUUCGGAUUCACUGGGCUUAAAGGGUGCGUAGGCGGCUCAGAAAGUAGGGUGUGAAAGCCCUCGGCUCAACCGAGGAAUCGCGCCCUAAACUACUGGGCUUGAGGGACGCAGAGGUAAGCGGAACUUAGGGUGGAGCGGUGAAAUGCGUUGAUAUCCUAAGGAACACCAGGAGCGAAAGCGGCUUACUGGGCGUUUUCUGACGCUGAGGCACGAAAGCUAGGGGAGCGAACGGGAUUAGAUACCCCGGUAGUCCUAGCCGUAAACGAUGAGCACUGGAUUGGAGGCCCCCCCAUAGGCUUCUAGUCGUAGCGAAAGUGUUAAGUGCUCCGCCUGGGGAGUAUGGUCGCAAGGCUG